UAAAAAGGCGUAGAGGAUGUGUAGGCCAAGAAAUUAUCUAAGAAGGUAAAUGGAAUUUUUCUGGAGCGGUAAAAUGUGAAGAUAGAAAAUAGAACACCUAAGGUUAAAACUAUUUACCACAAAAUAGGCUGAAACAUGAGAGAGUGGGGAGCAAACAGGAUUAGAGACCCUGGUAGUCCACUCUGUAAACUUUGAAGAUUAUGUUUAGCAGGCCCGAAAGGUAAAAUCUUCCGCCUGAGUAGUACGAUCGCAAGAUUAAAAUUCAAAAACUUUGGCUGUUCACUACUUCGAUUAGAGGAGCGUGUAGUUUAAUUCGAUGGUCCGCGUGUUACCUUACCCCAGCUUGAAUCUAUGACCGGUAUUGCAUGGCCGUCGUAAGUCCCUGUGUUAAACUAAAAGGGACCCAAUCCGGGCGUUUGCCUGAAGGAAGUCAGGUCUUAUGAUCCGAAUGUUGGGGGAUUUAUGCGCUACAUUUUCUUAUAUAAUGAGAGACUUGAGAGGUAAGCCUCUAAAGUAAGAGUUCGGAAGGUCGCUGUAAAAC
rnacentral:rRNA from 1 species